rnacentral:rRNA from 1 species
CCUACGGGAGGCAGCAGUGAGGAAUAUUGGUCAAUGGGCGGGAGCCUGAACCAGCCAAGUCGCGUGAGGGAAGACGGUCCUAUGGAUUGUAAACCUCUUUAGGCGGGGAGCAAUGCCGGGCACGCGUGCCCGGAGGGAGAGUACCCGCAGAAUAAGCAUCGGCCAACUCGGGGCCGCCAGCCGCGGUAUUACGGAGGAUGCGCGCGUUAUCCGGAUUUAUUGGGUUUAAAGGGUGCGUAGGCGGAUUUUUAAGUCAGCGGUAAAAUGUCCGGGCUCAACCCGGGCCGGCCGUUGAAACUGGGGAUCUUGAGUGGGCGAGAAGUAUGCGGAAUGCGUGGUGUAGCGGUGAAAUGCAUAGAUAUCACGCAGAACUCCGAUUGCGAAGGCAGCAUACCGGCGCCCGACUGACGCUGAGGCACGAAAGCGUGGGUAUCGAACGGGAUUAGAUACCCCUGUAGUC